GAGACAGCACUGCGCCUGCGCACUGGACUCCCAAGGGUAAGGCAGGCGCUGAGGGACGGAAUAGCCGCCGGAAAGAUCUGCAAUAUCAGGCAUUCUGCUGAGAGAGCUGGAAUCAUGGACAUAAGAAAUAGGAGCUGAAGGAGACCAUUCAGCCCCUCAAACCUGUCUGACCAUUCACUACGAUCAUGAAGCUGAUCUCCUGCAUCAACUCCACUUUUCCACCACCUCCCCAUAUCCCUCGAUUACCUGAGAGACCAAGUCCCGGCCUUGAUUAUGUUCAAUGACUGAACAUCCACAGACGUCUGGGAUAGAGAAUUCUAAAGAUUCACAACUAUCUGAGGGAAGACAAUUCCCCCCAUGGAAAGAGCCCAUUAGUUUUAGCUGAGAAUCAGCAUCACUGAAGGCACGGACUGGACAUUAACUCUGUGGAAUAUUCCAUUACUUCAGGAAGCUCUUCACUCCUGACUGUUUCCAGCGAGGACGCACUAAGGUGGGCCUUUUUAAUAUUAUUUAUAAAUAACCAGUCUCUUCCCCAACCCCCCACCCCUCUCCCAGUUACAACAACCUUCCUAUUUCAAUAGAGAAAAAAAAAGAAGCAAAUUAGGAUCUCGGUACCACCAUUGGCGGAUCCGGAGGAACUCUUCUCCCUCUCGGAGGACAAGAUGGUGGAGGAUCCAGUGCAAGUAAAGGAGCUCCAGCUGUGACUGUGCGAGAAAGAGACAAUGUAAGAGGGAGGGAAAGGGAAUGUGAUAGGCAAUGUGAGAGGAAGGGGUAAAGAGAGAAAGACAGAGGAAUGUAAGAAAGAGAAAUACGAAGGAAAGAGGUGAAGACUGGGAUGAGGAGGAGGCCACACAAGGCAAGAGAAAGAGAGAGGGUUUAGAAAACAGGCAACACUUUCUCUAAUCUGCUGUCAAACACAUCCGAGGCUACACAUCCCACACUGAGUUAUCAGUUUGAAAGCCUCCAAGGAUGAAGAAUGCUAUUCCCACACUAGAAAUCUCCGUCAAAAGUUUACUGGGGAACUGAGACAGCUGCUGCAAUAAGUGAGGUUUUAUUCAGAUGGGACAAUGACAAGUUUAAAUCCCCACCUGAUCUGCUGCUCCAAGUCACCUCCGUUUCACUGGUCAGUUUCCCAAGCUUCCGGAAACUCAUGUUGCCCAGAAAUAUUUGGAUUGGCUGUGAGAGACGUCAAUCAGAGAGCCCACCCACUCUGCCCAUUCUCUCCUCUUCCUCUUCCAGAGCUGGUUCACUUCCUGUAAGGACUGAAAACCAAGUGAGGUGAUGGUGAGUUCGAUGAAGUCACGAUGAUGCUGGUGAAACAGGACUUGGAGCAACCCUCAUGCAGCAAGGACAACCAGUUGUGUUUGUAGCCAGAGCCUUAAUACAAACUGAAUGACACUAGGCACAGAUUAAGAAAGAAUGCCUGUCUAUUGUCUUUGCAUCUCAACCAGUAGCUGUUUGGGAAAGAGAAAGUGAUGGUAGAGUCUGACCACAAGCCAUUUCAAAGCAUCUUUUUCAGACCACUUCUAUCUGCUCCAAACUAUAUGCAAAGAAUGUUAUUUCAUUUGCAGAGAUAUCACUUGGAAGAGAAGACCCGAAUGCUUCAAAGAUUGUGUGAAAUGCAUGAACCAGAACGAAUAGUUUUUUUGUUCAUAUAUGAGCAUUUUCAUUAUGGGCUAUGUGUAGUGUUCAAUGCUUUGAUUGAUCAGUAUUUGAUUAUGUCAGUCAUUCUCUGAUCUUUGUAACUGUACUUGAUUGCUUAAGCCUACGGGUGGAACUGGCAAGUUAAUUAUGUCAAAAAGCUCGAGAAAAGCGGGCAGAAACCAAUAUAUGUAUAGAAUCCUGUAAUUUGUGAGAUUUUUUUAAGUACUGUAAAUAAACCUGUUUAGAGUUUGAA